GAAGUGGCUCAGUGGUAGAGUGCUUGCCUAGCAUGCAUGAAACCCUGGGUUCGAUUCCUCAGUACUUCA
rnacentral:tRNA from 1 species